GAUGAGCGCUGGCGGCGUGCCUAAUACAUGCAAGUCGAGCGAACGGACGAGAAGCUUGCUUCUCUGAUGUUAGCGGCGGACGGGUGAGUAACACGUGGAUAACCUACCUAUAAGACUGGGAUAACUUCGGGAAACCGGAGCUAAUACCGGAUAAUAUUUUGAACCGCAUGGUUCAAAAGUGAAAGACGGUCUUGCUGUCACUUAUAGAUGGAUCCGCGCUGCAUUAGCUAGUUGGUAAGGUAACGGCUUACCAAGGCAACGAUGCAUAGCCGACCUGAGAGGGUGAUCGGCCACACUGGAACUGAGACACGGUCCAGACUCCUACGGGAGGCAGCAGUAGGGAAUCUUCCGCAAUGGGCGAAAGCCUGACGGAGCAACGCCGCGUGAGUGAUGAAGGUCUUCGGAUCGUAAAACUCUGUUAUUAGGGAAGAACAUAUGUGUAAGUAACUGUGCACAUCUUGACGGUACCUAAUCAGAAAGCCACGGCUAACUACG
rnacentral:rRNA from 1 species